UACAGAGGGGGCUAGCGUUAUUCGGAAUUAUUGGGCGUAAAGGGCGCGUAGGCGGCCUUGCGUGUCUUCCGUGAAAUCCCUCGGCUUAACUGAGGACGUGCGGAAGAAACUGCAGGGCUCGAGCCCGGGAGAGGGGGGUGGAAUUCCCAGUGUAGCGGUGAAAUGCGUAGAUAUCGGGAGGAACACCUGUGGCGAAGGCGGCCCCCUGGUUGGAUACUGACGCUGAUACGCGAAAGCGUGGGGAGCAAACAGG
rnacentral:rRNA from 1 species